CUGCACUAGAAAAAAGGAUAUACCGGGUUGAGUUUGAGAUAUUAAGAGUUAAAAUGAGAUAGCCGUGUUUUAGUGUGUAUCUAUGCAAUAAUUAGAUGAGAGUCCUGCUACAGUGUCCUAGACUGCAUGGGCUGAGUUAAAAAAAAAAAAAAAAAAAAUUUACCUUAGUACUUAAAUACCAGGACAGUUUGAGUUGUCGUUGCAUAUAGAUGCAUUUUCAAUGAAACAAAGAUGGUUUUUAUCCCCCCUUUCUGUGUAUGUCUGUGUCUGCAGCAAUGAAUUUUUGUGAAACAGCCCA
rnacentral:misc_RNA from 1 species